UUUAGCAUGGAAAUGGAGGCGACGGCAGCUUCCGAAACUGUAUCCCGUCUUCCCAUUGAUCUGGCCGUCAAAGAACGAUGAGAGAACGAUGUCUUCAACGCGUCCAAUAGAUUGAUCACUAUGCUGAUGAACUGUUUUCGAAAGAAAUGAUUUAAAUAAUGAGAUAAUAUCGUGAAAUAAUAUCGAGAAAAGAGUAAAUAAGAAACGCGCCCAGCACCGCAGUCAAAAUGCCCUAAACAACCGACACCAGCCAUGUGCUCUAAGUUGACGUCCUCUGAUGAUGAUUAUUUACAAGAAGAAGAGUCGAGUCUGUGUAAACUUUUUUACACCCAAGCGACAGAUCUUGUCGAGGAGAGUAUCGUUUUUUUCUUUUUUUCCUUUUCUUUUUUUUUUUAAUUAAUUACACGAAAUCACAACAACAUACGAUCGAUUUGAUUCGAAUUCGUAAUAUGUAUAUAUAUAUAUAUAUAUAUUAAAUCGAAAGGGAAUUACGCGGUUUAGAAAACGUAAAGAUCGUUAACGUGAUCAGUGUUCCCUUAAUUGAUUAAGGGGACAAUGGAGCUCGUUAACAGGAUUAACGAUUCGCGUCGUACGCCCGCUGUGAUUUCUAUUCAAAAAUAAUUUUGUAAUAACAAAAGAGAAAGAGAGAGAAAAAAAAAGGUAGAAACAUAUAUAUAUAUAUGUAUAAAGCGACGAUAUUAUUUUACAAUACGUGCACGGAUACGUCGCGUCUUUCCAACGAAAGAGAGAAAGAGAGACAAACUAGCGAUUAUUCCUUCUCGAAAUUCUAUUAUUGUGUAUUUGAGAGGAGGAAGAGACAAACUCUCUGUGUUCUGCUCCGCGUCAUGCUCAGCGAUGUACAGUCUACAGCAUGUAUAUAUGCGUUACCAAUUCUAAUUAGCUAUCCAAAUGUACAGCAAAUAUAUGUGUGUAUAUGUGUGUAUGAUGUGUGUAUGUGUGUGUGUGUGUCUCUGGAUAAUUAUUCUACGUUAAGGAACGAUUCCAUGGUAAAAAGAAAACUACAAAUGGAAAUUGUAUAAAUGAGUAUAUACGCUUGAUCAUCACAUGUAUAAUACCAUGGAAUAAUUCAGUUGUAUUCUACUGUUUGUAGCGAGUUUGACCUAAAUCGCAAUACAGUCAGUUCGGCUCAUGCUUGCUUUCAUUUAUGCGACCCGGAUCAAGAUGAAAGUCUCGGAAACACUUGUCUUGUUCCUGUUGUGCGGGACCGUUUCGAGCAAUCAUCAAGAUUGCUUUCUAAUUCGUGUUUCUUAAUUUCGAUAAAUCGGUGUUGAAGCGGAAAUGACCGUAAUUAACAGGGGAGAAACAAGGAUGCCACAAUGUUUGGGAUACCGCACAUACCUGCAUGGGACUGCUUUGGUUAUCAACCUUGUCGAUACCGUCCACGGACUGUUGAGGA